rnacentral:lncRNA from 1 species
CACGGAGAAUGACUAUAUAGGUCUUGUAGAAGAGAAACAGGCGCUUCUUUUGCGCUAGGUAUCGAAGGGCGCUAUGUUCAAAAAUCUGAAACUAGAGCUCAAAAUUCGAAAAAAAUGUCCAAAAAAUGGGGGUAAGGUCGGCCUAUUCCAGGAGUUCUAGAGAAAGAUAAUGAGGGGUGUCACGGGGUAUGACUAUAUAGGUCUUGUAGAAGAGAAACAGGCUCUUCUUUUGCGCUAGGUAUCGAAGGGCACUUUGUUCAAAAAUCUGAAACUAGAGCUCAAAAUUUAAAAAAAAGGCAAACAAUUAGGGGGGUCAUCCAGUAGCGGCAUAACACAAAAAAACUCAUCAUAAAUACCAGACGCGCGUUUCAUCUACAAAGACUCAUUAGUGACGCUCGAAUCAAAAUAAUGAUUGAAAGGCC